rnacentral:rRNA from 1 species
UACGUAGGGUGCGAGCGUUAAUCGGAAUCACUGGGCGUAAAGCGUGCGCAGGCGGCUUUGCAAGACAGAUGUGAAAUCCCCGGGCUCAACCUGGGAACUGCAUUUGUGACUGCAAGGCUAGAGUACGGCAGAGGGGGAUGGAAUUCCGCGUGUAGCAGUGAAAUGCGUAGAUAUGCGGAGGAACACCAAUGGCGAAGGCAAUCCCCUGGGCCUGUACUGACGCUCAUGCACGAAAGCGUGGGGAGCAAACAGG